rnacentral:sRNA from 1 species
AUCGAUUUUCAGGCGCGAAAGCCUGGGCGACGAGAUCUCCUUAUACUUUCAUAGGAUCGCUGGUGAGAGUCCAGCGCGAAUAUACACAGCU